CCUUGGGUCCGGCAUAACCCCGGGAAACUGGGGAUAAUUCCGGAUAACGCACAUAUGCUGGAAUGCUUUAUGCGUCAAAUGGAUUCCUCUGCCCAAGGAUGGGUCUGCCGCCUAUCAGGUAGUAGUGGGUGUAAUGUACCUACUAGCCGACGACGGGUACGGGUUGUGAGAGCAAGAGCCCGGAGAUGGAUUCUGAGACAUGAAUCCAGGCCCUACGGGGCGCAGCAGGCGCGAAAACUUUACAAUGCGGGAAACCGUGAUAA
rnacentral:rRNA from 1 species